rnacentral:rRNA from 1 species
AGGACGAACGCUGGCGGCGUGCCUAACACAUGCAAGUCGAACGGGGUAAUGACUUCGGUUAUUGCUUAGUGGCGAACGGGUGAGUAACGCGUGAGAAACCUGCCUUUCAGUGGGGGACAACAGUUGGAAACGACUGCUAAUACCGCAUAACAUCUUCUGGGGACACUCCCCUAAAGAUACAAAGCUUUAUGUGCUGAAAGAUGGCCUCGCGUCUGAUUAGCUAGUUGGUGAGGUAACGGCCCACCAAGGCAACGAUCAGUAGCCGGUCUGAGAGGAUGAACGGCCACAUUGGGACUGAGAUACGGCCCAGACUCCUACGGGAGGCAGCAGGUGGGGAAUAUUGGGCAAUGGGGGAAACCCUGACCCAGCAACGCCGCGUGAAGGAAGAAGGCCUUCGGGUUGUAAACUUCUUUUACCAGGGACGAAGAACGUGACGGUACCUGGAGAAAAAGCAACGGCUAACUACGUG